rnacentral:rRNA from 1 species
UGGGGGAUAUUGCACAAUGGGCGCAAGCCUGAUGCAGCGACGCCGCGUGGGGGAUGAAGGCCUUCGGGUUGUAAACUUCUUUUGCUCUGAACAAGGCGCACUUUGGGGUGUGUUGAGUGUAGGGGUUGAUUAGCGCCGGCUAACUACGUGCCAGCAGCCGCGGUAAUACGUAGGGCGCGAGCGUUGUCCGGAAUUAUUGGGCGUAAAGGGCUUGUAGGUGGCUGGUUGCGUCUGUCGUGAAAGCUCAUGGCUUAACUGUGGGUUUGCGGUGGGUACGGGCUGGCUUGAGUGCAGUAGGGGAGGCUGGAAUUCCUGGUGUAGCGGUGGAAUGCGCAGAUAUCAGGAGGAAUACCGGUGGCGAAGGCGGGUCUCUGGGCUGUUACUGACACUGAGGAGCGAAAGCAUGGGGAGCGAACA